GAUUAAGCUAAUAAGAGCGUAUGGUGGAUGCCUUGGCAUCAGGCGCCGAAGAAGGACGUGAUAAGCUGCGAAAAGCUACGGGGAGUUGCAAAUGAACAUUAUAUCCGUAGAUAUCCGAAUGCGGGAACGCACUUUAUAGAGAUAUAAAGUAUCGUUACAUGAAUAAAUAGUGUAACGAGGGGAACCCGGGGAACUGAAACAUCUAAGUACCCGGAGGAAGAGAAAGUAAAACAACGAUUACCUAAGUAGUGGCGAGCGAACGGGUAAGAGCCUAAACCUUAUGUAGAAAUAUGUAAGGGGUUCGGACUCACACAAGCUAUUCAAGGAAGUAGAUGAAGAGUGUUGGAAAGCACAGCGAAACGAGGUAAAAGCCCUGUAAUCGAAACGGAAUUGAAAGCGUGAGCAUCCAGAGUACCAUCGAGCACGAGAAAUUCGGUGGGAAUGAGGGAGGCCCAUCUCCUAAGGCUAAAUACGACCUGAUG
rnacentral:rRNA from 1 species